rnacentral:lncRNA from 13 species
AGAGCACACAUGCUGCAGUAUCACGAGGCCCAUGAAGUGACUAGGCUGAGCCAACCACCCAGGAUGAGAGCCAAUGCCAACUCCUGUCUGUGGUAGCUGGGCACACCUGAGGUGCAUCAGUGAGCAGCGAGCACACCAGAGUCGACAUCUCCUGCAUUUUCAGCAGCAGAAGGGAGUGCAGCCUACUUCACCAGUCUGCUUGCCACCGAACACUUGGCUGUUAAAAAAGAGCCCUUUAAAACCGUUUGAUGUUUUGGACUAAAUAAAGCUAUGCUCCCACUCCAAUUGAG